AAAGCUCUGUUGUUAGGGAAGAACAAGUAUCGGAGUAACUGCNGGUNCCUUGACGGUACCUAACCANAAANCCACGGCUAACUACGUGCCAGCAGCCGCGGUAAUACGUAGGUGGCAAGCGUUGUCCGGAAUUAUUGGGCGUAAAGCGCGCGCAGGCGGUUCNUUAAGUCUGAUGUGAAAGCCCCCGGCUCAACCGGGGAGGGUCAUUGGAAACUGGGGAACUUGAGUGCAGAAGAGGAGAGUGGAAUUCCACGUGUAGCGGUGAAAUGCGUAGAGAUGUGGAGGAACACCAGUGGCGAAGGCGGCUCUCUGGUCUGUAACUGACGCUGAGGCGCGAAAGCGUGGGGAGCGAACAGGAUUAGAUACCCUGGUAGUCCACGCCGUAAACGAUGAGUGCUAAGUGUUAGAGGGUUUCUGCCCUUUAGUGCUGCAGCAAACGCAGAAAGCACUCCGCCUGGGGAUACCGCCGCA
rnacentral:rRNA from 1 species